CCCCUUUUUACCUCCCACCCCCUUUUUACCUCCCUACUUCCCUUUUACCUCCCUACUUCCCUUCUACCUCCCUUCUACCUCCCACCUCCCUUCUACCUCCCAAUUCCCUUCUACAUCCCAACCCCCUUCUACCUCCCAACUCCCUUCUACAUCCCAACCUCCUUCUACCCUUUCUACAUCCCAACCCCUUCUACCCCUUCUACAUCCCAACCCCCUUCUACCCCUUCUACAUCCCAACCCCCUUCUACCCCUUCUACCUCCCACCCCCCUUUUACCUCCCACCUCCCUUCUACCUCCCACCCCUCGUGUGAAAUGGAUACAUUCGCAGACCUCUCACUUUGCAAAGCCAAAAACUCUUCGUUGUUUGGUUUACCCCUGUACUCUUGGAAGAGGGACCCGAAAAUGGGUUUUGAUAGUGUCUGACUGUAGACUGGUUCAGGGCAGGCACCAGGACCACAUUUCCACCUCCAUUCCCCUUAUCCCACUGUGGGGGUGACGUCACAGCAGCCCCCCCCCCCCAUCGCACUCUUCCUUCCUGGUCACUGCAGGGAUCACACUCUUCCUUCCUGCUCACUGCAGGGCUGCUUUCACUACAUUGUUUUGACGUUCUUCUCCGUAAGGUACUUGUGAUUCUAUCUCCCCCUUUUCUGCUUUCCAGGCCUUAAAUAGUGUUGAUACUGUUUAUUUUCUGUGGACUUCAAUUUGCCACAUAUGCCUUAUUAGAAAACACAUUGAGUUUGUAUGUAUGUACUGUAUUUAUGAUGACACAAGUGCACACACACACUCACAAUACCCUUACACAAUGCUAAAGAGAAUGAUCUGUACUGAAGAGAGAGCAGUAGAAGUCGUUUGUUAUUGUUAUAUACAGGUCACUACUCCUGUCUGCAUUGGCUGUUUAAACAAGGCACAUAUCUAAAGCCACCUGAUGAUUUUAUCUCAUGUAGUCCAAGUUUUGACAAUUGUACAAAAUAUAAUUCUUGAUUAUUGUGUGACCGUUUCAACCCCUACCCCCUCCCAAUGUAGACUUUUUUUUUUUUCUGUAAAAUAGUAUGCUUAAAGUUUUUGCACAGAAUAUAAUGAUGUUGGACACCGCCAUAUUUUAAUAUGUUGAUCUUGCUUGCUUAUGGGGGUCUCAUGGACGUGAGAUGUUUGAGGUACAGUGUGAAGUGUUUUAAAAACCACUUAUACUGAAAUAAACUUACUGGAAAUGUGGCAAAGCCUCUUCUCUUCUUUCGCAGAGAGGAUGGAUGGAUAGACAAAAACAAUAACACUGAAGAUCUCUGCUUUCUAAAAUGUUUAUUGAAUUAUUUUUAGUUUACUUUACUGUCUUUAGUCAAUGUCCUUCCAACUUACAAAUGUUUUUGAUAGAUGGGAGAUUUGUUUAUUUCUAUCACACACAGUGGCACAGAGUCUCCUCAAAGGCCCUUAACAAAGUGAAGGCAAACUCAUAGCCUUGGUUAACCACAGAAUGCUAUGAGUAAGUCCUUCAGUAUUUGGCAGCGCGAGACAGGAAGGAGUGCAUGUAAACAGUGAGGUGAAGGGUGUGUCUAUAGAGGCUUUAGAGUACGGAUGUCCUGGAGAUGAACUGGGAUCAGUCUUUAAUCAGGCCACUCUCACUGUGGUUUUUGACUCGCGUCUCCUCUUUGCACCCAAAACAUUCUGGGGCCGGCCAAAAUCUCCUCGCCUUUUCAUCCUCCCUCCUUCCUCCAGUCAUGCAGAACGGCCACAGCUCCACUGACGCUCAUAGGCUUUUAUGACUGUUGAGUGAAGGGCAUUGUCCACACUCUCAGGGGAACUUCUGGGAAAGAGACAGGGGGGUAGAAACAAUCAGUGAGGUCAUUACAACUUUUAUGCAGGCUGCAGAAUUCCCCAGACAGCUCUAUGAUUAAGUAGAGGAAGGUGUACUUCUCAGAAGAGUAGCCUGUCAAGCUGGACGUUUUGAAGGUACAAAGUACAGUAAUCAAUGGAAUAGAUGUCCAUGAAAUAAAAACCAACAACAAGAUAAGCAGAGCGAAAGAGAGUAAUGUCUUUGUGUGUUUAAUCAAAGUUUUGAAGUGCCACCUUAAUCAAGUGUACAGAUUUAUUUUGGGGGGAAAGUAAUUGUAUACUUAAAUAGUGCUGUUCAUGAUUUUACUAAGUUUAUUUCAACAAGGUCAUUAGGAAGAGGCUCUUUACACUUCUUCUAUAUGUCAUGCUUUCAGUAUAUCAACAGCAGGGCAAACUUCAUCAAAUAAAAGACUUAAAGACACUAUGGAAGUUGAAUUCAUCUCUGAUUCAGGGAGGUUGGGUUAAAUGCGGAAGACACAUUUUGGUUGAAUGCAUUCAGUUGUGCAACUGACUAGGUACCCCCCUUUUCCCUAAUUGUUUGUUAAAUGUUGACUUGACUGUUGGCUGUAUGGUUCAUAUACAGCACAUUAUCACAUACAUAAUAUUUAU
rnacentral:lncRNA from 1 species